CUGUAAUAUUUUCUUUAGUUUUUUUAAUGUGAAGUUGCUAUUAAAUUAGUCUGAAACCUCAUAUUUACCCUUUUCAGCCCCGCAUAUUUGUUCUGCUAAGGCGGUGUGUUUUUGACAGUGAUGAUGAGGUCCGUGAUAGGGCAACACUUUAUCAGAAUACGCUUGGAGGCGAUGGUUCAGUUGUUGAGACUGAUAAAGAUGUGAAGGACUUCCUCUUUGGGUCAUUUGAUAUCCCACUUGUCAAUCUUGAGACUAGUUUGAAAAAUUAUGUGCCUUCUGAAGAGCCUUUUGACAUUAACUCAGUGCCCAGGGAGGUGAAGUCUGCACCUCUUGCAGAGAAGAAAGCACCUGG